rnacentral:rRNA from 1 species
UUAAGCGACUAAGCGUACACGGUGGAUGCCCUGGCAGUCAGAGGCGAUGAAGGACGUGCUAAUCUGCGAUAAGCGUCGGUAAGGUGAUAUGAACCGUUAUAACCGGCGAUUUCCGAAUGGGGAAACCCAGUGUGUUUCGACACACUAUCAUUAACUGAAUCCAUAGGUUAAUGAGGCGAACCGGGGGAACUGAAACAUCUAAGUACCCCGAGGAAAAGAAAUCAACCGAGAUUCCCCCAGUAGCGGCGAGCGAACGGGGAGCAGCCCAGAGCCUGAAUCAGUGUGUGUGUUAGUGGAAGCGUCUGGAAAGGCGUGCGAUACAGGGUGACAGCCCCGUACACAAAAAUGCACAUGCUGUGAGCUCGAUGAGUAGGGCGGGACACGUGGUAUCCUGUCUGAAUAUGGGGGGACCAUCCUCCAAGGCUAAAUACUCCUGACUGACCGAUAGUGAACCAGUACCGUGAGGGAAAGGCGAAAAGAACCCCGGCGAGGGGAGUGAAAAAGAACCUGAAACCGUGUACGUACAAGCAGUGGGAGCACGCUUAGGCGUGUGACUGCGUACCUUUUGUAUAAUGGGUCAGCGACUUAUAUUCUGUAGCAAGGUUAACCGAAUAGGGGAGCCGAAGGGAAACCGAGUCUUAACUGGGCGUUAAGUUGCAGGGUAUAGACCCGAAACCCGGUGAUCUAGCCAUGGGCAGGUUGAAGGUUGGGUAACACUAACUGGAGGACCGAACCGACUAAUGUUGAAAAAUUAGCGGAUGACUUGUGGCUGGGGGUGAAAGGCCAAUCAAACCGGGAGAUAGCUGGUUCUCCCCGAAAGCUAUUUAGGUAGCGCCUCGUGAAUUCAUCUCCGGGGGUAGAGCACUGUUUCGGCAAGGGGGUCAUCCCGACUUACCAACCCGAUGCAAACUGCGAAUACCGGAGAAUGUUAUCACGGGAGACACACGGCGGGUGCUAACGUCCGUCGUGAAGAGGGAAACAACCCAGACCGCCAGCUAAGGUCCCAAAGUCAUGGUUAAGUGGGAAACGAUGUGGGAAGGCCCAGACAGCCAGGAUGUUGGCUUAGAAGCAGCCAUCAUUUAAAGAAAGCGUAAUAGCUCACUGGUCGAGUCGGCCUGCGCGGAAGAUGUAACGGGGCUAAACCAUGCACCGAAGCUGCGGCAGCGACGCUGAUGCGUUGUUGGGUAGGGGAGCGUUCUGUAAGCCUGCGAAGGUGUGCUGUGAGGCAUGCUGGAGGUAUCAGAAGUGCGAAUGCUGACAUAAGUAACGAUAAAGCGGGUGAAAAGCCCGCUCGCCGGAAGACCAAGGGUUCCUGUCCAACGUUAAUCGGGGCAGGGUGAGUCGACCCCUAAGGCGAGGCCGAAAGGCGUAGUCGAUGGGAAACAGGUUAAUAUUCCUGUGCUUGGUGUUACUGCGAAGGGGGGACGGAGAAGGCUAUGUUGGCCGGGCGACGGUUGUCCCGGUUUAAGCGUGUAGGCUGGUUUUCCAGGCAAAUCCGGAAAAUCAAGGCUGAGGCGUGAUGACGAGGCACUACGGUGCUGAAGCAACAAAUGCCCUGCUUCCAGGAAAAGCCUCUAAGCAUCAGGUAACAUCAAAUCGUACCCCAAACCGACACAGGUGGUCAGGUAGAGAAUACCAAGGCGCUUGAGAGAACUCGGGUGAAGGAACUAGGCAAAAUGGUGCCGUAACUUCGGGAGAAGGCACGCUGAUAUGUAGGUGAAGUCCCUCGCGGAUGGAGCUGAAAUCAGUCGAAGAUACCAGCUGGCUGCAACUGUUUAUUAAAAACACAGCACUGUGCAAACACGAAAGUGGACGUAUACGGUGUGACGCCUGCCCGGUGCCGGAAGGUUAAUUGAUGGGGUCAGCGCAAGCGAAGCUCUUGAUCGAAGCCCCGGUAAACGGCGGCCGUAACUAUAACGGUCCUAAGGUAGCGAAAUUCCUUGUCGGGUAAGUUCCGACCUGCACGAAUGGCGUAAUGAUGGCCAGGCUGUCUCCACCCGAGACUCAGUGAAAUUGAACUCGCUGUGAAGAUGCAGUGUACCCGCGGCAAGACGGAAAGACCCCGUGAACCU